CAGCCGCCACGGUAAUACGGAGGGUGCAAGCGUUAAUCGGAAUUACUGGGCGUAAAGCGCACGCAGGCGGUCUGUCAAGUCAGAUGUGAAAUCCCCGGGCUUAACCUGGGAACUGCAUUUGAAACUGGCAGGCUAGAGUCUUGUAGAGGGGGGUAGAAUUCCAGGUGUAGCGGUGAAAUGCGUAGAGAUCUGGAGGAAUACCGGUGGCGAAGGCAGCCAUCUGGCCUAAUACUGACGCUGAGGUACGAAAGCAUGGGGAGCAAACAGGAUUAGAUACCCGCGUAGUCCCUGUCUCUUAUAC
rnacentral:rRNA from 1 species